GACGAACGCUGGCGGCGUGCUUAACACAUGCAAGUCGAGCGGUAAGGCCCUUUCGGGGGUACACGAGCGGCGAACGGGUGAGUAACACGUGGGUGACCUGCCCUCAGCUCUGGGAUAAGCCCGGGAAACUGGGUCUAAUACUGGAUAUGACUCCAUGACGCAUGUUGUGGGGUGGAAAGCCUUGUGCGGCUGAGGAUGGGCCCGCGGCCUAUCAGCUUGUUGGUGGGGNGAUGGCCUACCAAGGCGACGACGGGUAGCCGGCCUGAGAGGGCGACCGGCCACACUGGGACUGAGACACGGCCCAGACUCCUACGGGAGGCAGCAGUGGGGAAUCUUGCGCAAUGGGCGAAAGCCUGACGCAGCGACGCCGCGUGAGGGAUGACGGCCUGUGU
rnacentral:rRNA from 1 species